UUGUAGCUCAAGCUGGUCAUGAACUCAGUAUUCUCCUGCCUCAACCUACCGAAUGCUGGGAUUACAGCUGUGUGGCAGCAUGCCUGGUGUAAUUGGUCAGGUUUAGCUGGACCAGCUUUGCUUGAAUAAUUACACAUCUGGAUGACUUGCUUUGGUAAGGAAAUAGAUGAAAAUGGUUUUACUUUCCUGGUAUGCUGUGCUUAUUUGUAGUUCUGAAAUUUCCUGUAGCUAACCUUAAUCUGUAACAGGUGACUCCAGUUACUGCAUUCAGUAGGACAGGAAGUUACUAAAUAUAUUUUUAUUUUAAAAGAAAAAUACAAAAUUUUAAAACAAGAUUGUAGGCAAGUAACAAUGGUUAGAAUGUUGUGUAUUGCUCUUUGAGGUACUUCCUUGCAUUAUAAGAUACAGGCAUGACUUGAUCAAACAAUAGACAUAAACCUCUUCAAUGAACUAGUAAUUGGAAUGUCUUUAUUUCUGUGUUUAUAUAUCCAUAUUAUGAAAUGUAUCUAAAAUUGUUUUUCAGGUCCAGAAUUUGCAACCUUAUGAAGGUAUGCAUAUUUUGUUAACCUUGGUACUUUGACAAAGGUAACCUAUGGGUACUGUUAGUGAUGAAGCCUAAACAGAUGGGAAUCUCUCUGAAUGAGAAUGAAGCUUUAUUUUAAACUGAAACAGUAGUUGGGGGAGGUCUUUUAGGAAAAGCACCUGUGAACACUCUUUAAUUAGAUGAACUUUACAGGCACUUGGAGUUGCCAUGGCUGUGGUGCAUCGUGGGAGAGAAGUUUUCAGGAAAGGUAAGCCAUCUCAAAUCUUGUGGUUUUGGGGAUUGAACCCAGGUACACUGCUAGGUGAGUGCUCUGCCUCUGAGCGUACACCGUCAGCCUUUAAGACUGGCUAAGUCAUCCAAAAGCUGAUACAGUGAUGAUAACAUAGUUCAGCAGACUCAUGCUGAUGAACAAGCACAAGUCUUUCGCUCCUAUCUGAUGUAUCUGGCUACAAAAAUCCAACUUAACAAUAAAUCAUUUAUUGUCCCUUAGAAAGUGUAGGGUCACUUACAAGUGUCUGUCUUUAUACUCUCACAUACAGAGUCAAGAAUUGAAGAUAAACAAGCCAGGUUGCGCGCAUCUACUGCACAGGUUGAGGCAAAAUGACUUGAGCUCGAGUUCAAAUAAUGCAGGAAGACUGAACUUCCCUCUCAAAGGAACUCAUGACUGAGGAGAUGGAGGUUAGCUUCUAUGUUACAUGUACAAAUUACCUAGGUUAUAACAGAAAAGUGAACUAAAGAGUGAAGAGGGAAACUAAGUAGCACCUCUUUCUUCGGGGGCCCAGGAGAUGGAGUGCAGGGCCUCAUGCAAGUGAAAGCCACAUGCUUUACUGAGCUAUGUCCUUGACCCAGUGGGACAGACACAUUUUAACUAUUUUUUCUAUUUCUGAACCAGGUAACCCUUGUCCUCAUGAUGUCUUCAAGGUAAGGAGGCUUGCUGUGUUCUUGCAAUGGCUUGGAGUGUAACCAAUGAUGUGAUGAUUCUGCCAAAUGAAACAAAGUGAUAUCACUUACAAAACCGUUCCAUUUUGAUUCUGAGGUUACAGUAUCAGUAAACAUUGCGGAAUUCUUUUUUUCUGUGACUAAAUACAAUUCUAAUUUUUCUUCAGGACUAUGGCAUGGCACCAGUGGGCACAGUUUAUCCUUACAAAAAGGUGAGGAUUGAGAAUGUCAGUACUGUUCCUGAUCCAGAAUACAUGAUGAUCUCACCUCAACUUGAACUCUCUCACUGAUUAUUGAUGAUGAGAAAGAUCUGAUAUUCUGUAUUCCCCAAUUUUUUGUGAGUUGAACUCUGGAAAUAGGGCUAAAACCGGUGUCUUCUGUUGCAGGAAAUCAGAUGGAUGUUCACUGAAGAGAAGGUUAAAGAUGCCAAUUUUAAUAAAUUUGUGUGAACUAUC